AGAGUUUGAUCAUGGCUCAGGAUGAACGCUAGCGGGAGGCUUAACACAUGCAAGUCGAGGGGCAGCAUUCACUUCGGUGAGAUGGCGACCGGCGGACGGGUGCGUAACGCGUAUGCAACCUACCUUAUACAAAGGGAUAGCCCAUGGAAACGUGGAUUAAUACCUUAUAGUACUAUAAAGCUACAUAGUUUAAUAGUUAAAACUUCGGUGGUAUAAGAUGGGCAUGCGUCUGAUUAGCUAGAUGGUGGGGUAAUGGCCCACCAUGGCGACGAUCAGUAGGGGUUCUGAGAGGAUUAUCCCCCACACUGGUACUGAGACACGGACCAGACUCCUACGGGAGGCAGCAGUGAGGAAUAUUGGUCAAUGGACGAGAGUCUGAACCAGCCAUCCCGCGUGCAGGAUGACGGCCCUAUGGGUUGUAAACUGCUUUUCUAUGCCAAGAAACCUUACUACGUGUAGUAAGUUGACGGUAGCAUAAGAAUAAGGACCGGCUAACUCCGUGCCAGCAGCCGCGGUAAUACGGAGGGUCCAAGCGUUAUCCGGAUUCAUUGGGUUUAAAGGGUGCGCAGGCGGGCUUGUAAGUCAGUGGUGAAAUACUGCCGCUUAACGGUAGAACUGCCAUUGAUACUGCAAGUCUUGAAUAUGGUUGAGGUAGGCGGAAUGUGUUGUGUAGCGGUGAAAUGCAUAGAUAUAACACAGAACGCCAAUUGCNAAAGGNAGCUUACUAAGCCAUUAUUGACGCUGAGGCACGAAAGCGUGGGGAGCGAACAGGAUUANAUACCCUGGUAGUCCA
rnacentral:rRNA from 1 species